UACGAAGGGGGCUAGCGUUGCUCGGAAUCACUGGGCGUAAAGGGUGCGUAGGCGGGUCUUUAAGUCAGGGGUGAAAUCCUGGAGCUCAACUCCAGAACUGCCUUUGAUACUGAGGAUCUUGAGUUCGGGAGAGGUGAGUGGAACUGCGAGUGUAGAGGUGAAAUUCGUAGAUAUUCGCAAGAACACCAGUGGCGAAGGCGGCUCACUGGCCCGAUACUGACGCUGAGGCACGAAGGCGUGGGGAGCAAACGGG
rnacentral:rRNA from 1 species